AGAGUUUGAUCAUGGCUCAGGACGAACGCUGGCGGCGUGCUUAACACAUGCAAGUCGAACGGAAAGGUCUCUUCGGAGACACUCGAGUGGCGAACGGGUGAGUAACACGUGGGUGAUCUGCCCUGCACUUCGGGAUAAGCCUGGGAAACUGGGUCUAAUACCGGAUAGGACCAUGAGAUGCAUGUCUUAUGGUGGAAGGCUUUUGCGGUGUGGGAUGGGCCCGCGGCCUAUCAGCUUGUUGGUGGGGUCACGGCCUACCAAGGCUCCGACGGGUAGCCGGCCUGAGAGGGUGUCCGGCCACACUGGGACUGAGAUACGGCCCAGACUCCUACGGGAGGCAGCAGUGGGGAAUAUUGCACAAUGGGCGCAAGCCUGAUGCAGCGACGCCGCGUGGGGGAUGACGGCCUUCGGGUUGUAAACCUCUUUCACCAUCGACGAAGGUCCGGGUUUACUCGGAUUGACGGUAGGUGGAGAAGAAGCACCGGCCAACUACGUGCCAGCAGCCGCGGUAAUACGUAGGGUGCGAGCGUUGUCCGGAAUUACUGGGCGUAAAGAGCUCGUAGGUGGUUUGUCGCGUUGUUCGUGAAAACUCACGGCUUAACUGUGAGCGUGCGGGCGAUACGGGCAGACUGGAGUACUGCAGGGGAGACUGGAAUUCCUGGUGUAGCGGGAAUGCGCAGAUAUCAGGAGGAACACCGGUGGCGAAGGCGGGUCUCUGGGCAGUAACUGACGCUGAGGAGCGAAAGCGUGGGGAGCGAACAGGAUUAGAUACCCUGGUAGUCC
rnacentral:rRNA from 1 species